UACGUAGGGAGCAAGCGUUGUUCGGAUUUACUGGGCGUAAAGGGCGCGUAGGCGGCGCGGUAAGUCACUUGUGAAAUCUCCGGGCUUAACUCGGAACGGUCAAGUGAUACUGUCGGACUAGAGUACAGAAGGGGCAACUGGAAUUCUCGGUGUAGCGGUGAAAUGCGUAGAUAUCGAGAGGAACACCUGCGGCGAAGGCGGGUUGCUGGGCUGACACUGACGCUGAGGCACGAAAGCGUGGGGAGCAAACAGGAUUAGAAACCCGUGUAGU
rnacentral:rRNA from 1 species